rnacentral:misc_RNA from 1 species
GAGAAAAAUGAAGAUGAGAAUUGUGAAUAUGAAAUGAUGUGGGAUGCAGAAGGAACAAUGCAUCUUGUGAAGAAAGCAGUAGAUGCUCCUAUUUCUCGCCCAAGUGAUAAAGCUGCAGUUGAAAGGGGGAACGCUGUGAUACGGCCAACCGCAAGAAAAAACACAUCUCACGAGAUGGAGAUUUCUAUGAACUUCGAAAUUAACACAGGUGUUGGAAAUGAUCCAAACAUAAAAUUACCACAUAGAACAAGCAAAUCAAAGACAAUGAUCAUUAUCCAAAGA